UCGACAGUCCCCACCUUUCAUUAGAUUUGAAGGCAUAUUCUCGAAGCAUUGUGGAUCAGUCGUGCUCCAACUGCCUUCGACAAGGAGCUUCUUCCAGUGCUUAUACAAUCAGUCAGUGCUUCAUCUUCGAUAUUAUAUGAAAUUUGCGCUUUUCUUAUUCGUCGUCGCUGCCGCUUGCUCGCGAUGGGCGACGUUCUCAAGUGUCACCAUUGCACCAGUGAUCCACCAAGCGGGGCGUGUGGCCAUGGCACUUUCAACGAAAAUGAUUCGGGAGUAACAACAGAGACGUGUCGAGCAAAUGCCAAGUGUUUCAGCAAAUUCCUACAGAUCGGAAAUAAAAAUCAUACGACUCGAGGCUGCGUUGUGGGGCGAAUAGAUCGGCAGUAAAUCGGCAGUCCACUAUUGCGAUUGGGAUUUAUGCAAUGACGAUUCCCAUUUACCCAACGGAGCGACUUCGAUCACCGUAACUCUGUCGAUAUUAAUGGCUAUCGUCGCAGUUUUCGUGUUCGGAGGUCACCAUUGAUGGCGAAUCUCUUCAAUGUUUUUUGCAACAUCAAUCGUUAGAUUACAAUCGUUAGAAUGUCAUUUUUCAGAAGUGUUUUCUUGGUUCAGGACGCUCAAUCGAGUAUAAAUAUCGAAAGAAUGAGAACGAAUGUAAUUUAAGUGAAAGAAGAGAACAAAUAUGACA